AGUUAGAAUGGCAGAGCCUGGUAAUUGCAAAAGAUCUAAAAUCUUUCUCCCGGGGGUUCAACUCCCCUUUCUAAUUA
rnacentral:tRNA from 1 species